rnacentral:rRNA from 1 species
UACGGGGGGAGCAAGCGUUGUUCGGAUUUACUGGGCGUAAAGGGCGCGUAGGCGGUCAGUGCAAGUCAGUUGUGAAAUCUCCGGGCUUAACUCGGAACGGUCAACUGAUACUGCUCGACUAGAGUGCGGAAGGGGCAACUGGAAUUCUUGGUGUAGCGGUGAAAUGCGUAGAUAUCGGGAAGAACACCAGUGGCGAAGGCGACUCUCUGGUCUACCCCUGACGCUGAGACGCGAAAGCGUGGGGAGCAAACGGG